rnacentral:rRNA from 1 species
AUGCAGAGCAGAGACAAAGAACUUCACUUUCUAUUUUCAAGAAAUCCAUCUAAGCCACACUACACCAACAGCCAUUUAGUGGCACAGACAUCAUUACCUAGCCCCAGUUUUCUCCACGGUGGUUUACAUCUUAGUUUGCCAAGUACACAAGAAGAAAGCUCAUGCCAGCACUACGUACCCGAGCAUUCACAGCGCUGCCCCAAGCUUAGGAAAGAGGUCCCUAUGAUGAAGCUAAGAUAUUCUCAUAGGCUUGUUGGCUGUGAAUUUUCGUCAUACAUCAAAAUGUCGAUUAAGAAGUUUGUAUGUGCUGUCUAUGAAGCAACAAUGCCAGUGAUUACGUUUGUUGUUUCAUCAUAUCAGCCAGAAAUAAGAACCGUUCUAAUUCCUAACAUUCCUAUAAAUGCGUAUGUUCUUCUGACAUUCAAUUUAGAUGCAAGCAUAUAUUAUUUUUUUCAUUUUUUAUCCAAGGUGACUUUGUUCCCUUGCAUGUACAUUUUGACAGUAAAAUUGGCAUGUGACAAAUUAAUAAACAUACAUGCAACAUACCACAGCUAG